GUUGGGGACAAUGAGUUGGAGUUCCAACUUGAAACCACAGAUUUGGCACUUUGUGAUCAAAUACUGCCGUAAGUUUUCUAGGACCUUCUUUCUUAGUAUAGCAGCAGAUUAAGAGCUAAGGAUUUGAUAUAGUCUUGAUUCGUGUAGUUUAAGAUAAGCAUAAAUUCACCAAGAGAACCAAUAGCUACAGGAUCCAGUGCAAUCUUGAUCUUAAGGGUGGAGCAGAAGGUACUAUUUUGAUUUGAGACUGCAUAAAUCUUUUACGGAAGACAAUUUUGUUCGAAUCAGUAAGAACAGAAGGACAAAACUUGUUUUUAUGUUUAGUAUUUAACGUAACUACAUAAGACUUGAAUUUAACACCACUCAUUAAGCUGAACAUUUUUCAUAUUAUUUUAUCUAUUCACUUAGCAGCCAAAAUGCUCUCUAAUGCAAGAUGUUUUUUUUUUGUUCUCAUUCAAUUCCUUAUAUUUCGCUGCUGCCUGUUGUGAGCAAUAUUGUUUUGAAAGUAACAUUUUCGUUCACAUGGAAAGUGACUUCUUGAUCGUACAAGUAGAUUGAAAUGUGAAACAAUCGAUUGACCUUAGAACUCCAAUGUCAUUGCAGAUCAAACUUUAAAAAGAAGGAAAUAGUGUGAAAACAAAUGAGCCAGCACUUUAUUUUGGUACCAGAUUUGCCGGCGAAACACCAUCAUAUGAAAUUCAAAUCACAUCCUCAAAUGCAUGGUCUAUUUCUUUUCUAAUCCUAUAUGUACCAACAACCAUUAUUAAUCUAUACAGCUAUACUUAUUCGAGGGAAAUAGGUCAUAUGGAUUAAACAAUACUAUUUUGUUCUGUCAUGAAACAAUAAAGCUUUGAGAUCCAUUAAGAUCUCAGUAUU